UACGUAGGGUGCGAGCGUUGUCCGGAAUUAUUGGGCGUAAAGAGCUUGUAGGCGGUUUGUCGCGUCUGCCGUGAAAAUUCGAGGCUCAACCUCGAACUUGCGGUGGGUACGGGCAGACUAGAGUGCGGUAGGGGAGACUGGAAUUCCUGGUGUAGCGGUGAAAUGCGCAGAUAUCAGGAGGAACACCGGUGGCGAAGGCGGGUCUCUGGGCCGUAACUGACGCUGAGGAGCGAAAGCAUGGGGAGCGAACAGG
rnacentral:rRNA from 1 species